UUGAAAAGAUCUAUAUCUUUAGGUGUGC
rnacentral:sRNA from 1 species